AAGAGGACAGUGGAACUCCAUGUGUAGCGGUGAAAUGCGUAGAUAUAUGGAAGAACACCAGUGGCGAAGGCGGCUGUCUGGUCUGUAACUGACGCUGAGGCUCGAAAGUAUGGGUAGCAAACAGGAUUAGAUACCCUGGUAGUCCAUACCGUAAACGAUGAAUGCUAAGUGUUGGAGGGUUUCCCCCUUCAGUGCUGCAGCUAACGCAUUAAGCAUUCCGCCUGGGGAGUACGGCCGCAAGGCUGAAACUCAAAGGAAUUGACGGGGGCCCGCACAAGCGGUGGAGCAUGUGGUUUAAUUCGAAGCUACGCGAAGAACCUUACCAGGUCUUGACAUACUAUGCAAAUCUAAGAGAUUAGACGUUCCCUUCGGGGACACGGGUACAGGUGGUGCAUGGUUGUCGUCAGCUCGUGUCGUGAGAUGUUGGGUUAAGUCCCGCAACGAGCGCAGCCCUUAUUAUCAGUUGCCAGCAUUAAGUUGGGCACUCUGGUGAGACUGCCGGUGACAAACCGGAGGAAGGUGGGGAUGACGUCAAAUCAUCAUGCCCCUUAUGACCUGGGCUACACACGUGCUACAAUGGAUGGUACAACGAGUUGCGAACUCGCGAGAGUAAGCUAAUCUCUUAAAGCCAUUCUCAGUUCGGAUUGUAGGCUGCAACUCGCCUACAUGAAGUCGGAAUCGCUAGUAAUCGCGGAUCAGCAUGCCGCGGUGAAUACGUUCCCGGGCCUUGUACACACCGCCCGUCACACCAUGAGAGUUUGUAACACCCAAAGUCGGUGGGGUAACCUUUAGGAACCAGCCGCCUAAGGUGGGACAGAUGAUUAGGGUGAAGUCGUAACAAGGUAACCAAGGGCGAA
rnacentral:rRNA from 1 species